GUUUCGUAGUGAGUAGGGCAGCGAUGUUUGCUUAURUUCACUUAAGAAGCACCGCCAAAUGUACACUCCAAAUAUUCCCCAAGAAACAAACGGCUGAAGGAGGUGUACUCCAAGCGCWUGCAUUCCCAGUCCAUGUGUGCCCGUUCUUAGGGGACCAGUCCUGACCUUCUCAUUUCACUCGCUAUUUCGCUAUUUCGCGACAUUGAUAACAGAGAGAAUGUCAAUGUAGAGACGUUKUGACUGAGCCUGCUGAUGCCAAAUAAAAUAUCACCAAGAUUACCAAAGUAAUGAGUAUCUAUCGGAAAUGCGAGGAAUCCUGGCACAAGUGUACCUGUUCCAAGCAUCCUUCUAUUUAAGGCAUACGCAUAUGUACUUGAAGAUCAAGUUGCGAUUGUGCUUUCUCUUUUUUGUAUUUUUGACAGCGCCAAAAACCUUUGGGAUUAAAUCAUGUUCCGUCCG